rnacentral:rRNA from 1 species
GACGAACGCUGGCGGCGUGCUUAACACAUGCAAGUCGAACGGAAAGGCCCUGCUUUUGUGGGGUGCUCGAGUGGCGAACGGGUGAGUAACACGUGAGUAACCUGCCCUUGACUUUGGGAUAACUUCAGGAAACUGGGGCUAAUACCGGAUAGGAGCUCCUGCUGCAUGGUGGGGGUUGGAAAGUUUCGGCGGUUGGGGAUGGACUCGCGGCUUAUCAGCUUGUUGGUGGGGUAGUGGCUUACCAAGGCUUGGACGGGUAGCCGGCCUGAGAGGGUGACCGGCCACAUUGGGACUGAGAUACGGCCCAGACUCCUACGGGAGGCAGAAGUGGGGAAUAUUGCACAAUGGGCGGAAGCCUGAUGCAGCAACGCCGCGUGCGGGAUGACGGCCUUCGGGUUGUAAACCGCUUUCGCCUGUGACGAAGCGUGAGUGACGGUAAUGGGUAAAGAAGCACCGGCUAACUACGUG